GAUGAACGCUGGCGGCGUGCCUAAUACAUGCAAGUCGAGCGAGCGGACGAGAAGCUUGCUUCUCUGAUGUUAGCGGCGGACGGGUGAGUAACACGUGGAUAACCUACCUAUAAGACUGGGAUAACUUCGGGAAACCGGAGCUAAUACCGGAUAAUAUUUUGAACCGCAUGGUUCAAAAGUGAAAGACGGUCUUGCUGUCACUUAUAGAUGGAUCCGCGCUGCAUUAGCUAGUUGGUAAGGUAACGGCUUACCAAGGCAACGAUGCAUAGCCGACCUGAGAGGGUGAUCGGCCACACUGGAACUGAGACACGGUCCAGACUCCUACGGGAGGCAGCAGUAGGGAAUCUUCCGCAAUGGGCGAAAGCCUGACGGAGCAACGCCGCGUGAGUGAUGAAGGUCUUCGGAUCGUAAAACUCUGUUAUUAGGGAAGAACAUAUGUGUAAGUAACUGUGCACAUCUUGACGGUACCUAAGCAGAAAGCCACGGCUAACUACGU
rnacentral:rRNA from 1 species